UACGAAGGGUGCAAACGUUGCUCGGAAUUACUGGGCGUAAAGGGAGCGUAGGCGGAUAGUUUAGUCAGAGGUGAAAGCCCAGGGCUCAACCUUGGAAUUGCCUUUGAUACUGGCUAUCUUGAGUACGGAAGAGGUAUGUGGAACUCCGAGUGUAGAGGUGAAAUUCGUAGAUAUUCGGAAGAACACCAGUGGCGAAGGCGACAUACUGGUCCGUUACUGACGCUGAGGCUCGAAAGCGUGGGGAGCAAACAGG
rnacentral:rRNA from 1 species